ACGGGAGGCAGCAGUGGGGAAUAUUGGGCAAUGGGGGAAACCCUGACCCAGCAACGCCGCGUGGAGGAAGAAGGUUUUCGGAUCGUAAACUCCUGUCCUUGGUGAAGAGCAGAAGACGGUAGCCAAGGAGGAAGCCCCGGCUAACUACGUGCCAGCAGCCGCGGUAAUACGUAGGGGGCAAGCGUUAUCCGGAUUUACUGGGUGUAAAGGGAGCGUAGACGGCGAUGCAAGUCUGAUGUGAAAGCCCGGGGCUCAACCCCGGCACUGCAUUGGAAACUGUGUUGCUAGAGUGCAGGAGAGGUAAGCGGAAUUCCUAGUGUAGCGGUGAAAUGCGUAGAUAUUAGGAGGAACACCAGAGGCGAAGGCGGCUUACUGGACUGUAACUGACGUUGAGGCUCGAAAGCGUGGGGAGCAAACAGGAUUAGAUACCCUGGUA
rnacentral:rRNA from 1 species